rnacentral:rRNA from 1 species
UGCGUAGGUGGGCUUGUAAGUCAGUGGUGAAAUACUGCCGCUUAACGGUAGAACCGCCAUUGAUACUGCAAGUCUUGAAUAUGGUUGAGGUAGGCGGAAUGUGUCGUGUAGCGGUGAAAUGCAUAGAUAUGACACAGAACGCCAAUUGCGAAGGCAGCUUACUAAGCCAUUAUUGACGCUGAGGCACGAAAGCGUGGGGAGCGAACAGGAUUAGAUACCCUGGUAGUCC